rnacentral:rRNA from 1 species
AGAUUGAACGCUGGCGGCAUGCUUUACACAUGCAAGUCGAACGGCAGCACGGGGGCAACCCUGGUGGCGAGUGGCGAACGGGUGAGUAAUGCAUCGGAACGUAUCUUUAAGUGGGGGAUAACGCAUCGAAGAUGCGCUAAUACCGCAUAAUCUCCGAGGAGAAAAGCAGGGGAUCGCAAGACCUUGCGCUUUUGGAGCGGCCGAUGUCUGAUUAGUCUUGUUGGUGAGGUAAAGGCUUACCGAAGGCUUCGAUCAGUAGCUGGUCUGGAGGAGGACCGACCGACGCCACACGUGGGACUGAGACGACCGGCCCAGGCCUACCGUACGGGA